AUGAACGCUGGCGGCGUGCUUAACACAUGCAAGUCGAACGAUGAAGCCCAGCUUGCUGGGUGGAUUAGUGGCGAACGGGUGAGUAACACGUGAGCAACCUGCCCCUGACUCUGGGAUAAGCGCUGGAAACGGCGUCUAAUACUGGAUAUGUCCCGUCACCGCAUGGUGUGCGGGUGGAAAGAUUUUUCGGUUGGGGAUGGGCUCGCGGCCUAUCAGCUUGUUGGUGAGGUAAUGGCUCACCAAGGCGUCGACGGGUAGCCGGCCUGAGAGGGUGACCGGCCACACUGGGACUGAGACACGGCCCAGACUCCUACGGGAGGCAGCAGUGGGGAAUAUUGCACAAUGGGCGGAAGCCUGAUGCAGCAACGCCGCGUGAGGGAUGACGGCCUUCGGGUUGUAAACCUCUUUUAGCAGGGAAGAAGCGAAAGUGACGGUACCUGCAGAAAAAGCACCGGCUAACUACGUG
rnacentral:rRNA from 1 species